rnacentral:rRNA from 1 species
GACGAGCGCUGGCGGCGUGCUUAACACAUGCAAGUCGAGCGGUAAGGCCCUUUCGGGGGUACACGAGCGGCGAACGGGUGAGUAACACGUGGGUGACCUGCCCUCAGCUCUGGGAUAAGCCUGGGAAACCGGGUCUAAUACUGGAUAUGACUCCAUGACGCAUGUUGUGGGGUGGAAAGCCUUGUGCGGCUGAGGAUGGGCCCGCGGCCUAUCAGCUUGUUGGUGGGGUGAUGGCCUACCAAGGCGACGACGGGUAGCCGGCCUGAGAGGGCGACCGGCCACACUGGGACCGAGACACGGCCCAGACUCCUACGGGAGGCAGCAGUGGGGAAUCUUGCGCAAUGGGCGAAAGCCUGACGCAGCGACGCCGCGUGAGGGAUGACGGCCU